UGGGGAAUAUUGCACAAUGGGGGAAACCCUGAUGCAGCGACGCCGCGUGAAGGAAGAAGUAUUUCGGUAUGUAAACUUCUAUCAGCAGGGAAGAAACUGACGGUACCUGACUAAGAAGCACCGGCUAAAUACGUGCCAGCAGCCGCGGUAAUACGUAUGGUGCAAGCGUUAUCCGGAUUUACUGGGUGUAAAGGGAGCGUAGACGGAGAGGCAAGUCUGAAGUGAAAGCCCGGGGCUCAACCCCGGGACUGCUUUGGAAACUGCAGUUCUAGAGUGCCGGAGAGGUAAGCGGAAUUCCUAGUGUAGCGGUGAAAUGCGUAGAUAUUAGGAGGAACACCAGUGGCGAAGGCGGCUUACUGGACGGUGACUGACGUUGAGGCUCGAAAGCGUGGGGAGCAAACAGG
rnacentral:rRNA from 1 species